rnacentral:rRNA from 1 species
AACGAACGCUGGCGGCAGGCCUAACACAUGCAAGUCGAACGCCGUAGCAAUACGGAGUGGCAGACGGGUGAGUAACGCGUGGGAACAUACCCUCCGGUUCGGAAUAACUCAGGGAAACUUGAGCUAAUACCGGAUACGUCCAAGGUUUUAAUCGGCCUUGGAGAAAGAUUUAUCGCUGGAGGAUUGGCCCGCGUCUGAUUAGCUUGUUGGUGAGGUAAUGGCUCACCAAGGCGACGAUCAGUAGCUGGUCUGAGAGGAUGAUCAGCCACAUUGGGACUGAGACACGGCCCAAACUCCUACGGGAGGCAGCAGUGGGGAAUAUUGGACAAUGGGCGAAAGCCUGAUCCAGCCAUGCCGCGUGAGUGAUGAAGGCCUUAGGGUUGUAAAGCUCUUUUACCCGGGAAGAUAAUGACGGUACCGGGAGAAUAAGCCCCGGCUAACUUCGUGCCAGCCGCCGCCGUAAC